AUCGCUUCUCGGCCUUUUGGCUAAGAUCAAGUGUAGUAUCUGUUCUUAUCCAGUUUAAUGUCUGAUACGUCUCCUACCCGGGGACUAUACGUUAAAUGGAUUUUUGACCUUCGGAAAUGGAAGCGGAGCUUGCUCCUUCCACUCCAUGCAUCGACGUGGUAUUGCAGUGUUUCCAUGAACGGUGCGCUCCCC